AGAGAGAAAGAGAGAGAGAGAUUCGGUGAAGGGAAGGCAUGCGGCUUGCAAAGAAGAGGGAGGGAGGGAGGGUGGAGAAGACGAAAAGCAACUGCAGCAAGUUCAUGGACAUGGUCGCAGCAAUGAAGACCCCUCAACAGCAGAUUCAAGUCAAUCUGGGUAAAGUCAUAGCCUUCAACCCUCAUCAAAGCUUCCCUUUCAGCCCCUUCUUCAGGUUAUUUUUUACUUAUAUUAUUCAAUUUAUCUUUUCUUUUUUUCUUGUUUGAAUUCAGCUUCUAGGAUUGUGAAAUUCUUCGAUUCCAAGUUUGAAUUCUUCAAUUUUGAUUUAUUGCGGCAAUUUUUAUUUUCUAUUGGGUCUAAGACUUGGAAACUCAAUGUCUUUGUGAUAUUAGAUUAAAAUAGUUAAACUAUAUUUUCUUUUGGUGGGCAUGUCUAAAUUUCUGUAUUUAUGUUGUAGAGAUGUCUUAUCUGGUGAAGUGUUCAAAAUCCUUCUGCUAACUGAUUUAAUAGGUUGAAUCUGUAUCCAAUGAAUUCCUUCCAAUAUAGGUCUGAACUAUUUUGUUUAAUUAACGAAAACAGGUCACUUUUCUCUAUGGUGGUCCCUUAGAGUUUUUGUUUAUCGUGGAAAGCACAGAAAACCCUGCUUAUCGGGUUGUAUCUAUGGUACUAUCAGAGCUUAAGGAUGAGGUUGAUGCUAAGAUUGUUGUGGCUGGUAUUUCAACAGCCUGCAGUCAAAAAAUUCACAACUGAUUGGUAUGUACCUGAUUAAAAUAAUUUACGCUUUGCUACCAUGCUAGUGCAAUAGCAAGGUCUUGCACAGUUGUAAGUGUUAUCUUAUCAAAUCAUUAUGUACCUAUAAUUGUUCUAUAUGAUGAGUUUCUUUUCUUUAUGGAAUAUAGGAAUAUAAAUUUAUUACUAAGUCUUAAUGUUGUAGGGUAUAUGUAAAUGAAUUCAAUUAGAACUCACUUUUUUGUUUUCUGUUUUGUAGCUGCCUUGGUCAUUAGUUGGUGAUCUCUUGUAUUGGAAUUUCUUGGUUUUUUGAGUUUCUGAAAAAAAAAAAAAAAAAAGUUAAUGCAUUUAUAUGUGUGAGUAUGCGUGCGCUCUUCACUGAUAUUCCAUUCUCAUUUCUGUUCUUCCUCAUUUAUAUGUAAAUGCUUUGUUGUAUCUUGUCAUCUGCCCAUUGGUCAUAAAUAUAGUAUCUAUACUUUCUUUAUCUUAUUCUUGAAUAGCCACGCUGAUUGGGAGAUCAUUUGUUGUUUCAAGGUUGAAGGUGGUCUGCAUAUUCAUGAACUUGUCAAUUUAAUAUGUUCUUAGUUGAAGUUGCAGAAGGGUUGCAGUGAAUUUGUGGAGAUUUUGUAUGGUAAAUUAUGACUGCAAACCCCUUGAAAAUCUACUUUUCCCUGGUAUUUAUAUGAUCAUAUCUCAGUGUUGUCCUCAACUCUAAUCACUUUCAGUUGGACUUAAGUUAACGUUAUUCUUACGAAAUUUGUGGGUUUGAUUUUGGGUGCAGGCUACAGCUGAUGAUCAGAUUCAAGUUAUUGAGAUGAUUAAGCUCUUGGAAACAAAGGGUUCGAAGACUUUUUAAAGUUUGGUUCCAACAUUUGUACAAAAUUCUAUAAAAUAUCAAUUAUGCAAAUUUAUAGUUGUAUUCUUAUAUUUUAAUGAUAUAACAAUUUGUUUUCUCA